GGGAGGGUGUGUCUAGUGACAGAGUUAGGGAGGGAAGGGGUGACUAGUGACAGUGAGGAAGGGGGUGACUAGGGACAGAGUGAGGGAGGUGGUGACUAGUGACAGUCACCACCUCCCUCACUCUGUCACUCCCUCCCUCUGUCACUAGUCACCCACUCCCUCCCUCCCUCUGUCACCAGUCAUCCCCUCACUCUGUCACUAGUAACCCCUUCCUUCCCUCACUCUGUCACUAGUAACCCCUUCCUUCCC